UGCUAAUGAUUCACUUGAAUUUUGUAGAAUUAACUUUUUUAAUUGAAUCUUGAAAUUCAGUCUGUUUUCUAUUUGUGUUAUUUUUUGUGAUGAGGGAGG